rnacentral:rRNA from 1 species
GACAGGUGCUGCAUGGCUGUCGUCAGCUCGUGUCGUGAGAUGUUGGUUAAGUCCCGCAACGAGCGCAACCCUUGUCUUUAGUUGCCAUCAUUUAGUUGGGCACUCUAAAGAGACUGCCGGUGUCAAACCGGAGGAAGGUGGGGAUGACGUCAAGUCCUCAUGGCCUUUAUGACCAGGGCUACACACGUACUACAAUGGCCGGUACAAAGGGCAGCCACUUAGCGAUAAGGAGCCAAUCCCGUAAAGCCGGUCUCAGUCCGGAUUGGAGUCUGCAACUCGACUCCAUGAAGUUGGAAUCGCUAGUAAUCGCAGAUCAGCACGCUGCGGUGAAUACGUUCCCGGGCCUU